rnacentral:rRNA from 1 species
GACUCUCGGCAAAGGUUAUUUCGGCUCUCGCAUCGAUGAAGAACAUAGCGAAAUGCGAUACUUGGUGUGAAUUGCAGAAUCCCCUGAACCAUCGAGUCUUUGAACGCAAGUUGCGCCCCAAGCCAUUAGGCCGAGGGCACGUCUGCCUGGGUGUCA